CCUCAGAGAGCAGUGUGCUCCCGUCACAAGGUGGACGGCCAUCCUCCCCAGAUGACAGCGUGGUCUCUUUUCUCCCAGAUUUGGUCAUGGCUCUUCCCUGACUGGAUGGCUAGUCUUUGAUGGACAGCAAGCAACUCUUUGAAUAAUUUUAUCACUUAUAUAUGUGAAAGAACAGCACACAAUACCAAAGAGAAACUCUUCAUGAUUCUGAGGAGGAAAAAAUGGGAUAACCACGGUGUUGCUGGAACGCUCUCUGCAGAGGUCAGGUGCCUUGAUCAUGGCCUGUUCUUUCAGUUUUCAACUCCUUUGAGGAAACACCGGGAAGCAUGAGGCCUGGACUGUGCGGCAAGACUGAUUAGCUUUGUAGGAAAUGACCAAACUGUCUCCCACGGCAGGCGCGCCACCCUGUGUCCUCGUCAGCAGUGAGUGAGAAUUCCCGUCGCUCCACACCUCGCCAGCGCUCUGUCCUUGUCGCUCACGUCCCAGGUUUUGGCCACGCUCGUCUCCUGAUACUGUCUUUUGCAGAGCAAACGUGCUUAAUUUUAAGGAAGACCAGCUCCUCAAUGACUUCUUUCAUGGAUCGUAUCUUUGCUGUUAUAUCUAAAAAGGCAUGACCACACCCGGUGUCAUCUCGGUUUCCCCCUCUGUCAACUUCCAUAGUUUUCUAUAAGCACAAAAGAUGUUUAAUCAGAGGAAAAAGUAUAUCCAUAUAAUCCAAAAAUGUAGCUGAGCAACCCUGACAAGAACGUACUGACGUCUACGUGGUAGGUCCUUUAAGGAAGCGCAGCAAAGGUCAAGAGUGAAUCCACAGAUGUAGGUUCCACAGGCCCAGGGCUGGCGGAAGCCGUCCGAUGACGCACAGGAAGAAAGGCCAGGCUGCAGGACUUUGGAGGGGAAGGCAGUGCCAGCGUUACCUCGCGUCUCUAUUCCAAGAUGAUGCCAGCAUCUGGGCCCACGUGUCGGGGGCACCGAUCAGUCCCUGGUGGAGCAGCGUCGACACGCUCUCGACCCGCAGGCUUGGAAGGAGUUUCUGAGCAACUGCACGCAGUUGCAUCCCUUCCAGGCAUGACAUGAGCAGGUUCUAACAAGCUAUUAGCUUGAGAGUCAAAAAAACAGGGAGAGGGUGUAGAUUUUGAUUCAACUUCCAAAAAUGCAAAAACUGAAGGGGUAAAAUGAUAUUUACUUGGGGAAAAAGCUGGUUAAGGGGUUCUAAGCUUUAUGACAAAACCGUGAGAUGGAGGGGAUGGAUGGAGCCCCCCUGUGCAGACAGGAGACCCCAACAGCUCCGAGCCUGGGAUCCCAGGGGCACCAACUCACUCGUGGGUCUCUGCCUCGCCCUGUCCCACACUAAGGACCCCAAAGCUGGAAGCCCUCUGUCCACUGAUGACAGCUACUGCUGCACCACCGUGGAGGACACCCCAGCCCAGAGAGGAAGGGGUCCCGCGUGCUGGGCUUCCCUUCCUGGUCUCGGCUUAAUUGGCAUCUUCACGACACUGUGAAAACCCAACCUGCCCUUCGUCGUCCUUCUGGCCCAGGCAGGAGCCCCUCAGGGUCUACCUGCUCCCAUGGGGUUAGGGGUUCUCCUAACUGGUCCUUGCCUUGUCUCUCCCAAACACGUCAGGUUCUUCCAAGCAUCCUCCCACUGUAAACCCGAGUCUGUCUUAUCUGAACCGCCUUCCAUCCCGAGGACGCCAGCUAAGCCGCACCCCUGAGGACGCGGCUCAUCCUCCACCCGAGCCUCCCUUGGAGUUCUGUGGCCUCCUUGACCCCCCGUGGCUCCUGCCAGGACAGUGCUUUCAACCCCCGGUGGAAGUACUUCACUCCUCAGAUGUCAUCCUCAGGGACACUGCUCAUCUUUCACGCCUUGUCUGGGCUGCACUCCAGCCUCCCCGUCCCUGUGAACUCUGCACGAGAGCAAACUACUCACGCCUAGAUCAACAGCAGCGUCCGCGUGGCCAGGCCCGCCUCCCUGGUCACUCAGCAUCGUUGUCCUGGCGGCUGGUUCCUCCCACAGGCUCUGCUGUCUCCUCCGGCUUCCCAGGCUGCUCCUUCCGGGUGUCACCCCCCCCCCCCAACUCAGGAACGUGAGUGCUCCUCCCCAGCUCAACCGUCUCACUGCAGUUUACGCCAGUCCCGUAGAUUUAAAUGCUGCUGUGUCCCUGUGAGUCCCAGACUGAGACCUCUGGUCCAAACCUCUGUGGCAGUCUGCCCAGCACCUUCCCUCGGGAUCCUGACAGUUGUGUCAAAAACCUCCAGCAUCUCCGGUCAGCCUCCCUCCCCAGCCCUCUCUCGCCGGCCAGUCGCCCCACCUUGGGACAGGGCGCUGCCGUCCAUCCGCCAGUUCCUGUGCAAGACUUCCCAGGAACCCUUCUGGACUCUCCUGCCCUGCCUCACAGCCACACCAUCACCAAGGUCUAGGAGCCGUUAGACCUUAAAGUG